rnacentral:lncRNA from 1 species
GAAGCUUGUGCAUCGGAAUCUUUUAAUACGAGAAUUCAGAUAAAAGAGAGUAAAGUGAAAGACAUAUGUAACCAAAAGCAUAUAGUUUGAGACUUUGGUAGCCACAACUUUUAAACCAUGACUUUGGAGGUCAAAAUGAAAUGAAAAGACAAGCAUGCCCUUACUAAUUAGUGAAUAAAAAUAAAACAAAAUUUAAAUAGUAUUUGACUUGAAAGAAAAAUAGAUAAAAACAAAAUAAAAAAAUACAAACUUUAGACUUAAGAAUUAAAAAAAAAGGCCGAUAUUCUUUCUUCUUCCCCAUUUCAAAACCGGCGAACCGUUCCCCUUCCCCAUUUCAAAAUUUCCGUCCGUUCCCCUUCCC